CUACGGGGCGCACCAGUAAGGAAUAUUGGGCAAUGGACGCAAGUCUGACCCAGCCAUGCCGCGUGCAGGAUGACGGCCCUAUGGGUUGUAAACUGCUUUUAUACAAGAAGAAAUCCUUCUACGUGUAGAAGGUUGACGGUACUGUAAGAAUAAGCAUCGGCUAACUCCGUGCCAGCAGCCGCGGUAAUACGGAGGAUGCAAGCGUUAUCCGGAUUCAUUGGGUUUAAAGGGUGCGUAGGCGGGGCAAUAAGUCAGUGGUGAAAUCCUGCGGCUUAACCGUAGAACUGCCAUUGAUACUGUUGCUCUUGAGUUUAGUUGAGGUGGGCGGAAUGUGUAAUGUAGCGGUGAAAUGCAUAGAUAUUACACAGAACACCAAUUGCGAAGGCAGCUCACUAAGCUACGACUGACGCUGAGGCACGAAAGCGUGGGGAGCGAACAGGAUUAGAUACCCCUGUAGUC
rnacentral:rRNA from 1 species